GUAAAAAACACCCAUUUCAGAUCAUGUGAUCUGUUGCUAUGUCUGACGGGUUAUUUGGCCAACACAAUCAGCAACUGCUUGACUUUUCCCCAACUAAUGUCUGGUACACAUUAGCAUUGGGUGGAAUCUGGUGUGCCCUUAACAUCCCAAGAUAAAAAAAAUCCCAGUCUUCACAGAUUUGAACCCUGGUCUCUUAAGCCAAGUGCUUUACUGCUAGGCCACCAUGCCCCCAGAUGCAUGUAUACUAAUUGUUGGUACCUCCAUAGUUGACACUGCUGCCACCUAUGUUUCACAUCCUCCACGUCCCUCUGUGCACAUUUCUCUGUGCAUGACUUUCUCCUCCUCCUGUUGUCACUUCAAUUAACAAAGUUGCUUGUGAAAAACUAAUGAUCAAAAUUCUGUAACACAUUUUGUUACUGACAAGUGUGUGGAUUUGUUGAUUUUUUUGUUUGUUUGUGUGUGUGUGUGAUAUGUGUGGUCAUGUGAAACUACUGCUAGAAACUGACCACUUGUUUAUAUACACUCUUAAACUUGAGUUGUGUAAUUGAACCUUGUCUUGGGGAUUUUUUGAGAACAUAUUUAUUACCGUUUUAUUUGUGCGUGUGUGAACAUUAACUAGAUUU